AUUUGGUACUGGGGCUGUACAAAAUGUAUUAUCCCCACUUCCUAUUAAAAAAAAAACGAAAGAAGAAAGAAACAAGAAAGAAAGAAGAAAAAAACGUGAUGGAAACUCUGAUGCUCGACUUGCGAUUGCGUGCGAUAUUUGGAUAAUGAAUGAACGCUAGUUUGAGAAGCAAAGGAGGAAGGCAAGGAAGGCUGGAUUACAUCGGUGACGAAUUGCUGUUGUACACGAGCGGACGAAUGGACAUAAAAAAGUCCAGUGUGUGUGCCGCGAGAGUUGAUCAAUGCCGGACACGUCGAAUCAUUUAACAACGUGUAAAUCAAGUGAAGCGAAGGAGAUGCAGGAUUCUACGAUACGCAACAGGUGAAAGAUGGAUCGAUUCCGCCUCAGUCGAAUCUGUCCUGUUGCGAAGGUGAAAAAAUAUAUUGUAGUAUAAUAUAUUAAAGAAGAAAUAAAAUGUUAUGGACGAAAGGAUAAUAAUGGAGGCGACACCCGGUAUAUAGGUACGGACUCGUAUCGUACAGUCGUAGAGUCGACUCUCCGAUAUCGAGCGGAAGGCCCAGCGAGGGUUGUGCGCGCGCGCCUCCACUAACACCUAAUCAUCCCUCGGAACGUAAACGUACACGUACGUUUAACACAGGAAUACGAAGACUCGCGCAGCUUCUCCCACCUUGUCGAUCUCUACCACCUUCGCCAGGUGGCGUGGACGGGGAAGAAUUUCGAGAGAAACAAGGUAAAGGCUAAGGGAGCACGCUGUGAAAGAGCGAAACGAAAGAGGGUUGGAGGGUGGUAUCCUCUGGACUGUUGGGUGAAGAAGGAACGAUCGCGACGACGAAAGAGAAAUAGAACUAGUAGAAAAGGGAUACGAAUCGGGUGGAGUAUGAGAAGAAAGAGGAGAAAGGGUGACACUGUGAAGAAGGAGGGACGAAGAGGAGAUGUCCAAUGUCGAGAGAAUUGCAAGGAAGAAACAAGAGAAAAAGAGAUGGUGGGAGAGACGUAUCAGAGGGUGGUGGUAACGUAGAGAGAGGAGCAGAAUAGGGUUGGUUCCAGUGUGCAGCGGGCGGGCAUCGCGGCGGGGGCGCCGUUCUGCUGCUCCUGUAUAUCCAUCCAGGGUUAUAUGCACCAUCCAUCGCAUCCUAGCGACCACGACGGCGACGACGACGACGACGACGAGGACGACGAGGACGAGGACGACAAGAACGACGACGACAAGAACGACGACGACGACGCCGCCGGGAAGCAGGAGGAGGAGGAUGAUGAUAUCUGGCGACAUUGCUCGCGUCCAAGACUAAAAGCGACAGUUUGCGUUCACUGUCAAAGUUAGUUAGUUAUCGGUAGCGAAUAGAGAUACGUGAUUCUCGAUCGAGUGAUCGUAAACGAUACGAGUGACAUUGUUCUUACAGUAGAAAGAUAAUAGAGAAAAUGGAAACGGAGACUGCGCCGAAGUAAAAGAAGAGGACCUAGUGAGGAAGAUAAAUAGUGAGAAAGAAAAAAGAAUCAAAGACGGUUAACGAGGGUUAGCAAAGAGGGUGUGGAAAUAAUAGAUA